GUGGGGAAUAUUGGGCAAUGGACGAAAGUCUGACCCAGCGACGCCGCGUGAGGGAAGAAGGUCUUCGGAUUGUAAACCUUAGUCAACAGGGAAGAAGAAAGUGACGGUACCUGUGGAGGAAGCCACGGCUAACUACGUGCCAGCAGCCGCGGUAAUACGUAGGUGGCGAGCGUUAUCCGGAUUUACUGGGUGUAAAGGGUGUGUAGGCGGGAAGGCAAGUCAGAUGUGAAAACUAUGGGCUCAACCCAUAGCCUGCAUUUGAAACUGUUUUUCUUGAGAGUCGGAGAGGUAAGUGGAAUUCCCGGUGUAGCGGUGAAAUGCGUAGAUAUCGGGAGGAACAUCUGUGGCGAAGGCGACUUACUGGACGAUUACUGACGCUGAGACACGAAAGCGUGGGGAGCAAACAGGAUUAGAAACCCCAGUAGUCC
rnacentral:rRNA from 1 species